CCAGCUUCCAUGGCAGCAUCGU
rnacentral:miRNA from 8 species